rnacentral:rRNA from 1 species
UACGGAGGGGGCUAGCGUUGUUCGGAAUUACUGGGCGUAAAGCGCACGUAGGCGGCUUUGUAAGUCAGGGGUGAAAGCCUGGAGCUCAACUCCAGAACUGCCUUUGAGACUGCAUCGCUUGAAUCCGGGAGAGGUGAGUGGAAUUCCGAGUGUAGAGGUGAAAUUCGUAGAUAUUCGGAAGAACACCAGUGGCGAAGGCGGCUCACUGGACCGGUAUUGACACUGAGGCGCGAAAGCCAGGGGAGCAAACGGG